GUCUUAAUAGGGCGAAUCAGUACGUAGUUGUAGACCCGAAACCGAGUGACCUAUCCAUGGUCAGGUUGAAGGUGGGGUAAUACCUACUGGAGGACCGAACAAGUGGGUGUUAAAAAACCCUUUGAUGAACUGUGGAUAGCGGUGAAAUUCCAAUCGAACUCGGAGAUAGCUGGUUCUAUCCGAAAUACAUUUAGGUGUAGCCUUGCAAUUAGCUUACUGGAGGUAGAGCACUAUUUGGUCUAGGGGCCCUUCAAGGGUUACCAAAAUCAGAUAAACUCCGAAUGCCAGCUAAGUAUGUGCAGGAGUCAGACGGUGAGUGAUAAGAUCCAUCGUCAAAAGGGGAACAGCCCAGAUCACCAGUUAAGGUCCCUAAAUAUAUGCUAAGUGGAAAACGUUGUGAAGGUGCAUAGACAACUAGGAGGUUGGCUCAGAAGCAGCCACCCUUUAAAGAGUGCGUAAUAGCUCACUAGUCAAGUGCUCUUGCGCGGAUAAUGUACCGGGGCUAAGCAUAUUACCGAAACUGUGGAUGCGUAAGCAUGGUAGGAUAGCGUAAUUAACGCGAUGAAGGAUGACCGUAAGGACAUGUUGGAGCGUUAACUAGUGAGAAUUCCGGUAUGAGUAGCGAAAGAUAGGUGAGAAUCCUAUCCACCGAAUGAGUAAGGUUUCCCCCGGAAGGCUCGUCCGCGGGGGGUUAGUCGGGACCUAAGGCGAGGCUGAAAAGCGUAGUCGAUGGACAACAGGUUGAUAUUCCUGUACCGAUAUUUAAUUGCCGAAGGAAGGACGCAGAAGGAUAACACAGGCCACUAUUGGAUGUGGUUUUAAACAGUUAGUC
rnacentral:rRNA from 1 species